GCGGGGCACCCACGUGAGGGCCGCACGUCUGCGGGGAGUCACGUGACCGGGGCGCGCCGCAGCCGCCGGGGCGCACCCGGCGAGAGGCAGCGGCAGUGAUGGACGGGUCCGGGGAUCAUCUCGGAGGCGGCGGUGAGGCGGGAGGCGGAGAACUAGGCCGGGUCCAAGGACCCCAGGACCCCUCCGGCUGUGGGCUCGGGCGGGGGCUGGCUGGGGCGCGCGGAUCCAUUCCGACCGGCGCAUCCGCACCCUGUGAGCGGACAUCCGCGUGCGCGCCCCCGGGCAGGCCCGGGCUUGUCGCUGGCGCCACUUCCUGCUGGUGGCCUGGGAUGGAUCGGAAGGCCAGCGCCAUCCCCCCAGCUGGGGGUCUGUUUGCUUUAGGGAUUCCGCAGUCUGGGUUAGCAGAGGAGCUGGGAUGCAGGUUGGGUCCCGCCCCCUGUCCAUCAGAAGCAGUAGCCCUACUUGUCACUACUAGGGUCCCCAGCUCUGUCUCCCCUCAGGGUUAUGAGCCUACUCAGCCCCCUGACUCUCCCUGGGACCCAGGAGUCCAGGCACCCCUUUCCUCCUCUCUCCACCAGGGCCCACCAGCUCUGAACAGAUCAUGAAGACAGGGGCCUUUUUGCUACAGGGUUUCAUCCAGGAUCGAGCAGAGAGGAUGGCUGGGGAGACACCUGAGCUGACCUUGGAGCAGCCGCCCCAGGACGCAUCCACCAAGAAGCUGAGCGAGUGUCUCAGGCGAAUUGGCGAUGAACUGGACA
rnacentral:lncRNA from 1 species